rnacentral:rRNA from 1 species
ACGGCUCAGUAACACGUAGUCAAUCUAACAUAUGGACGGGGAUAACCUCGGGAAACUGAGAAUAAUACCCGAUAGAUCAUUAUUCCUGGAAUGGUUUAUGGUCGAAACGAUUUAUCGCCAUAGGAUGGGACUGCGGCCUAUCAGUUUUGUUGGUGAGGUAAUGGCCCACCAAGACUAUUACAGGUACGGGCUCUGAGAGGAGAAGCCCGGAGAUGGGUACUGAGACACGGACCCAGGCCCUAUGGGGCGCAGCAGGCGAGAAAACUUUGCAAUGUGCGAAAGCACGACAAGGUUAAUCCGAGUGGUUUGUGUUAAACGAACCUUUUGACAGUCCUAGAAACACUGUUGAAUAAGGGGUGGGCAAGUUUUGGUGUCAGCCGCCGCGGUAAAACCAGCACCUCAAGUGGUCAGGAUGAUUAUUGGGCCUAAAGCAUCCGUAGCCUGAUCUGUAAGUUUUCGGUUAAAUUUAUGCGCUCAACGUAUAGGCUGCCGGAAAUACUGCAGAUCUAGGGAGUGGGAGAGGUAGACGGUACUCGGUAGGAAGGGGUAAAAUCCUUUGAUCUAUUGAUGACCACCUGUGGCGAAGGCGGUUUACCAGAACACGUCCGACGGUGAGGGAUGAAAGCUGGGGGAGCAAACCGGAUUAGAUACCCGGGUAGUCCCAGCUGUAAACUAUGCAAACUCAGUGAUGCAUUGGCUUGUGGCCAAUGCAGUGCUGCAGGGAAGCCGUUAAGUUUGCCGCCUGGGAAGUACGUACGCAAGUAUGAAACUUAAAGGAAUUGGCGGGGGAGCAC